rnacentral:rRNA from 1 species
AGUGAAGCGAACGCGGUGAACUGAAACAUCUAAGUAACCGCAGGAAAAGAAAUCAACCGAGAUUCCCAAAGUAGUGGCGAGCGAAAUGGGAUGAGCCUUGCACUCUUUAUUUGUAUUGUUAGCCGAACGCUCUGGAAAGUGCGGCCAUAGCAGGUGAUAGCCCUGUAGGCGAAAACAGUAUGAAAGAACUAGGUGUGCGACAAGUAGGGCGGGACACGUGAAAUCCUGUCUGAAGAUGGGGGGACCAUCCUCCAAGGCUAAAUACUCGUGAUCGACCGAUAGUGAACCAGUACCGUGAGGGAAAGGCGAAAAGAACCCCGGGAGGGGAGUGAAAUAGAUCCUGAAACCGCAUGCAUACAAACAGUCGGAGCCUCGUAAGGGGUGACGGCGUACCUUUUGUAUAAUGGGUCAGCGACUUACGUUCAGUAGCAAGCUUAACCGUAUAGGGCAGGCGUAGCGAAAGCGAGUCCGAAUAGGGCGUUCAGUUGCUGGGCGUAGACCCGAAACCAGGUGAUCUAUCCAUGGCCAGGAUGAAGGUGCGGUAACACGUACUGGAGGUCCGAACCCACUAACGUUGAAAAGUUAGGGGAUGAGCUGUGGAUAGGGGUGAAAGGCUAAACAAACCUGGAAAUAGCUGGUUCUCUCCGAAAACUAUUUAGGUAGUGCCUCGUGUCUCACCUUCGGGGGUAGAGCACUGUCAUGGUUGGGGGGUCUAUUGCAGAUUACCCCGCCAUAGCAAACUCCGAAUACCGAAGAGUGCAAUCACGGGAGACAGACAUCGGGUGCUAACGUCCGGUGUCAAGAGGGAAACAACCCAGACCGCCAGCUAAGGUCCCCAAAUAUAGCUAAGUGGGAAACGAAGUGGGAAGGCUAAAACAGUCAGGAGGUUGGCUUAGAAGCAGCCACCCUUUAAAGAAAGCGUAAUAGCUCACUGAUCGAGUCGUCCUGCGCGGAAGAUGUAACGGGGCUAAGCUAUAUACCGAAGCUGCGGAUGCGAGCUUUGCUCGCAUGGUAGGAGAGCGUUCCGUAAGCCUGCGAAGGUGCCUUGUAAAGGGUGCUGGAGGUAUCGGAAGUGCGAAUGCUGACAUGAGUAGCGAUAAAGGGGGUGAAAGGCCCCCUCGCCGUAAGCCCAAGGUUUCCUACGCAACGUUCAUCGGCGUAGGGUGAGUCGGCCCCUAAGGCGAGGCAGAAAUGCGUAGCUGAUGGGAAGCAGGUCAAUAUUCCUGCACCAUUGUUAGAUGCGAUGGGGGGACGGAUCGCGGAAGGUUGUCCGGGUGUUGGAAGUCCCGGUCGCUGCAUUGGAGAAGGCGCUUAGGCAAAUCCGGGCGCGCAAUUCAAGGGUGUGGCGCGAGCUCCUUAGGGAGCGAAGCAAUUGGAAGUGGUUCCAAGAAAAGCCUCUAAGCUUCAGUCUAACGAUGACCGUACCGCAAACCGACACAGGUGGGCGAGAUGAGUAUUCUAAGGCGCUUGAGAGAACUCGGGAGAAGGAACUCGGCAAAUUGGUACCGUAACUUCGGGAUAAGGUACGCCCUUGUAGCUUGACUGGCCUGCGCCAGGAGGGUGAAGGGGUUGCAAUAAACUGGUGGCUGCGACUGUUUAAUAAAAACACAGCACUCUGCAAACACGAAAGUGGACGUAUAGGGUGUGACGCCUGCCCGGUGCCGGAAGAUUAAAUGAUGGGGUGCAAGCUCUUGAUUGAAGUCCCGGUAAACGGCGGCCGUAACUAUAACGGUCCUAAGGUAGCGAAAUUCCUUGUCGGGUAAGUUCCGACCUGCACGAAUGGCGUAACGAUGGCCACACUGUCUCCUCCCGAGACUCAGCGAAGUUGAAGUGUUUGUGAUGAUGCAAUCUACCCGCGGCUAGACGGAAAGACCCCAUGAACCUUUACUGUAGCUUUGCAUUGGACUUUGAACCGAUCUGUGUAGGAUAGGUGGGAGGCUAUGAAACCGGAACGCUAGUUUCGGUGGAGCCGUCCUUGAAAUACCACCCUGGUUUGUUUGAGGUUCUAACCUUGGCCCGUGAUCCGGGUCGGGGACAGUGCAUGGUAGGCAGUUUGACUGGGGCGGUCUCCUCCCAAAGCGUAACGGAGGAGUACGAAGGUACGCUAGGUACGGUCGGAAAUCGUGCUGAUAGUGCAAUGGCAUAAGCGUGCUUAACUGCGAGACCGACAAGUCGAGCAGGUGCGAAAGCAGGUCAUAGUGAUCCGGUGGUUCUGUAUGGAAGGGCCAUCGCUCAACGGAUAAAAGGUACUCUGGGGAUAACAGGCUGAUACCGCCCAAGAGUUCAUAUCGACGGCGGUGUUUGGCACCUCGAUGUCGGCUCAUCUCAUCCUGGGGCUGUAGCCGGUCCCAAGGGUAUGGCUGUUCGCCAUUUAAAGAGGUACGUGAGCUGGGUUUAAAACGUCGUGAGACAGUUUGGUCCCUAUCUGCCGUGGGCGUUGGAUAUUUGAAGGGGGCUGCUCCUAGUACGAGAGGACCGGAGUGGACGAACCUCUGGUGUACCGGUUGUCACGCCAGUGGCAUCGCCGGGUAGCUAUGUUCGGAAGAGAUAACCGCUGAAAGCAUCUAAGCGGGAAACUCGCCUUAAGAUGAGAUAUCCCUGGGGACUAGAUCCCCUUGAAGGGUCGUUCGAGACCAGGACGUUGAUAGGUCAGGUGUGUAAGCGCAGUAAUGCGUUCAGCUAACUGAUACUAAUUGCCCGUAAGGCUUGAUCCU